UGAGGAAUAUUGGUCAAUGGGCGAGAGCCUGAACCAGCCAAGUAGCGUGCAGGAUGACGGCCCUAUGGGUUGUAAACUGCUUUUAUAUGGGAAUAAAGUGAGGGACGUGUCCCUUAUUGCAUGUACCAUACGAAUAAGGACCGGCUAAUUCCGUGCCAGCAGCCGCGGUAAUACGGAAGGUCCAGGCGUUAUCCGGAUUUAUUGGGUUUAAAGGGAGCGUAGGCUGUUUGUUAAGCGUGUUGUGAAAUGUAAGAGCUCAACUUUUAGAUUGCAGCACGAACUGGCAGACUUGAGUGCGCACAACGUAGGCGGAAUUCAUGGUGUAGCGGUGAAAUGCUUAGAUAUCAUGACGAACUCCGAUUGCGAAGGCAGCUUACGGGAGCGCAACUGACGCUGAAGCUCGAAGGUGCGGGUAUCGAACAGG
rnacentral:rRNA from 1 species